GCUUACGGCCAUACCAGCCUGAAUACGCCCGAUCUCGUCUGAUCUCGGAAGCUAAGCAGGGUCGGGCCUGAGAGACCGCCUGGGAAUACCAGGUGCUGUAAGCU
rnacentral:rRNA from 1 species